ensembl:lncRNA
CAACAACUACAGACCUCAUAAAUAGCCAUGUGUAAACCCUUACAGGGAAUUAUUAAUUCUAUCAUGAAUACACGACAAACUGCAGAAAUAAAAGGUGAACUCUGUUGUGUUUAUACCCAGUUAAUUACAACAUAUUACAUUGAUAUUCCUGUUAAAACUUAUGAGGCACAGUACUUGCAGAAGGCAGCACUUACUUGUGUUGCCUUUGAGUCCUGAAUGAAUGCUUGUUUAGCACAUUUUCAGUAUAAACUGGCUGCUACUUCUGUGUUGACCUGCUUGGUUUGUUUGGCCAGGGGAAUUCUGGGCAAACGAGUUCAGACGGCGAGGGGUGACGUGGGGACGCAGUAACAGCUGUGUUUGCUAGGACAAGGCAGAGACAUGUGUUUGGUUUCUCCUCUGUGUACCUCCCAAGAGCUCCACAAUGCUGAAGUUUGGCCACUUGAAUAAAAUGCACAUCCAAAUUAGGGCAAUCCACAUAGUACACACAAAAAUACAAAGAGAAAGACUUGCGAUUGAGUAAAAAAAAAUGAAAAGUUGAAAGUUGAGUGAGAAGCAACACGACUGGCUGUUGGCCACUGUGAUGCAGGCAAUCCUUGAAAUCCCCUGCUUACACAGUAAGAACCAAAACUGCCACAUAGGCUCAUAAUUUGGGUUUUUCCACUGUGAAGAAGGACACAGAAGCACAGGUCUAAUCGUCCACGUGUUCUUUGUUGAGUAAUGUCUUCCAUGGUGUGCAUUAGUUUCCAGUAAUCAGUGUAUCAUGUACAUGUACUUAUAUCUUGGUUUAAGAAUCUGGUAAUUGACAGGUGACGUCUUGAAAGUCAGAUGUGAGACAUCGAGAAUUAAAAAUUUUAUGGUUAUGUACCGACUCAAGAACAGCUGUGUUCUCGGGAAGAAAGCACAGCCAUGUUUUGGUUUUCUUGUCUUCAUACCAGAGCACUACAGCGAGAGAGAGAUAGAGAGACAGUGGGAGAGCACUAAAGUUGUGCAACAGACUUGCGCAUUUGUGAUGCAUUUAGUAACCCCUCGCAGGCUGGGUUUUUCAAGUGCAAAGAAGCAAGUGCAACAUGUGAAAAGAAUUAAUAAAACAAUUGCAAAGUGUGUGUGUGUGUGUGUGUGUGUGUGUGUGUGUGUGUGUGUGUGUGUGUGUGUGUGUGUGUGUGUGUGUGUGUGUGUGUGUGUGUGUGUGACUUACUACUGGGUCAUUGUGUCUCAGAUAAAUCAGACCUAACUGGCUUUUGCAAUUUAAUGUUUGUUUGUUUUUUUAUUACUGUGUGUGCUGAAAUGCUGGACUUUUAUUCAUCUUCAUUUCUUAACAAUCCAAUAGUCCGGCAAUUUUUGAUGCUUCUGUCCCAAACUACAGAUCCUGAUUAAUUUUGAUGGGGCUAUGACACCAACAGAGUAAAUUCACAGACUCCGCCCUCAGCACCAUAGGCUCCAAUCGAAGCUGAAGUGAAGCCGUUUCAGAACAUUUUGCUCUACAUAUUUGAGUUGUUUGCCAUGCUUGGAUAUGCUUGUGAAGAUGGAAUAUGGGGGAGAGCAGAAGUGCGUUGAAGUUCCACAAAGGGAUGAAUGAAGGACAUGCAUAUUGUAUUAAAGAAAUAAGUCAUGAGAAUGCUGUUAUUUGCAUUUACCAUGUCAGACCUUUUGAUAAACAAAAUUCUAAUGAAAGUGAGAACAUGUAUACUGUUACAUCUUUCAGAAAAUGUUUUGAAAUUGGGGUGCACAGUUCAGAAUAAAUGUUUUUCAAAAACCAUUGCAUCUUUUUAGUAAAUGUUUAUUUCCAAAAGAAAUUUCUAGAAGUUCAGAACAGUAAAAUUCCCGC